rnacentral:rRNA from 1 species
AGUGAACGCUGGCGGUAGGCCUAACACAUGCAAGUCGAACGGCAGCACAGUAAGAGCUUGCUCUUACGGGUGGCGAGUGGCGGACGGGUGAGGAAUACAUCGGAAUCUACUUUUUCGUGGGGGAUAACGUAGGGAAACUUACGCUAAUACCGCAUACGACCUACGGGUGAAAGCAGGGGAUCUUCGGACCUUGCGCGAUUGAAUGAGCCGAUGUCGGUUUAGCUAGUUGGCGGGGUAAAGGCCCACCAAGGCGACGAUCCGUAGCUGGUCUGAGAGGAUGAGCAGCCACACUGGAACUGAGACACGGUCCAGACUCCUACGGGAGGCAGCAGUGGGGAAUAUUGGACAAUGGGCGCAAGCCUGAUCCAGCCAUACCGCGUGGGUGAAGAAGGCCUUCGGGUUGUAAAGCCCUUUUGUUGGGAAAGAAAAGCAGCAGGUUAAUACCCCGCUGUUCUGACGGUACCCACAGAAUAAGCACCGGCUAACUUCGUG